CCCGUUCCCGUUCGCUUUUUCCGCUUUUCCGGAAACCUUCGAAAGGGAUCAGGUCGCGAGGGGCUGCGCAUGCGGAGUGUGGAAGUGGUUGGCCCCGAGCAAGGGCUGUGCCCUCGCGAAAGUAGCCGAAGUCGAUCGCCGCCUAUCGACCCCCGCGGUCUGCUCGGGCGGAACGAGGCGGCGCGGCGAGCGCGGGCUGCGGCUCCGGGGCGCUGGGACUGGCGGGGCCCCGGGGUGCGGCGUGCUUCGGGAAGGGGUGCUCUGGCGGGCGGGCAAGGAGCGGCAGACGCGGCGGGUUCAAUAUGAGGCCUUUCGCCUACAUCCACGGCGGAGUUCGGUGUCUUUGCUGCGGUGUCGCCAUCCUCGCGGGCCGGCGUGCCUGUCAACCAUCGCAGCCCUCGGGGCGGUGUUAGGUGCCGAGAGGUGCCGGGGCUCAGGCCCAAAGGACAAAACCCACAAUCGCAUGUGCUAAUUUAAUGCUCUAGAUAAAUUUAAUUUAAUGCUCCAGAGCCUCUUUAAAGGACCUGGUUCUUCAGGACAGCUCUGUCUGUGGAAAGGGAGAUAACAGGCGUGGGCACGGGAGAGAAGGCACUUGAUUUCAGGAAAAAAAGAUGGGGAGGGCAGGAGGAGGUGAAGCUCAGGUGGCCAGAAAGCCUGCUAAUCCAGCAGGAUCGGGUGCAACAGAGAUAAUCAGGCCCCGUCCCUUUAUUUCAACGAGUGUCCGUGGGCAGCAAGAUGCUGGGCUGAUGGCUUCUCACUGCAAGAUUGUGGGCCUCAGCAACUCUAGACCUGCCCCGGGCAGCCCCUCUGCCAGCCUUUCCCACUGGGUGCCCCCACGAAGUGUUGCAGCUCGCAGCAUGCCCAGCGGGGGGCCGUAGCCAGGACUUUCAAUGAGAAACUUAAUAGAAGCAAAAUUCAGGGGCAAUAUUUAAAAUGAGACACAAAACAAGUUUCACAUAAAACUUGAAGAACAAGUAGAUUAUAAAAGUUUUUAUGCAGAACAGCACAGGGUGGGUUGCCAAACCAAAAUGGCUACAAGGCCUCCACCUGCCCAUGUUCUAAGCAAUUGAUUCAAAAGUCACUGGGGUGACCGACAACCUGACUUACUUUUUAAUUGAACUAGCUUGAUAAUCUUACACUGAUAGGCUCUGGAAGUCAUUAGACACAGUGUUAAGUUGGAGGUCAGAGCCUAAGGAGUGAAUCAGACAGUGUCCACAGUUGGUAAGACAGGGUCCAGAAAUAUGGUUCAGUUAAGAAAUGGUCAUGAUGAACGCAUGUAUCCAUGGUUCUGACUAUCUGCUUAUCAAGAAGAGAAUCAUCAGUACAUUUUAAUAUCUUAUAAUAAAAAUGAAAAUGGCUGCUUCUUGGGAAUAAUCACACACCUGUUCCAAGGUGACUUUGCUUGUAAGAAACUAAAAUGGGAAGCUUUGUAGUGAAGUGUUAGCGUACUCUGAAAGCAUAAACCAUUAAUCAUGUUAUCCUGUGCAUGUUGACUUGGAAGCAAGUCUCAGUGAAUUUAAGAAAGGCAAUUAUCAUGAGAAAACCUAUAAACCUAUAAUGGCAGCAGGGCAUCAAAGAGGCCCAAUAUUCUAAUGAAGUUCCUCCACCUAUGGUUUUCUGCCUGCUGGUCCCUACUGUCAGAACAACAGGAAUUCUGGGAUUUCUCUCAAAGCAUGGAGUACCAGCAGCAUGCUAAUCUUAGAAUGAAGCUAGACUUGCCUGAAUGUCUCAGCAGCUGCCACCACAAGCUUUCAUGGGCCAGAAAAAAGUGUUUAACUUUUGAACCACUGCACAGAAUUUCACAAAAGCACCAGUCUGCAAUUUUGAAUAAAAAGUACAAAUGUA